UUGAUGAUUGGGUUGGGAGGUUGUUGGCUCUGGUUUCUUCAGACAUGAUAAAUGCUGGGUGGGUCUCGAUUUGAUGGGAGUAACUUGCCAAGAGUGCAGCUCAGAUCGUUUCUUUAGUUUAUACUUUGUUUGGUUCAACAGUUUACUAUCGCAUAUUAAGGUAUGUGUGUAUGGCUUUUACUCUGUGGUGAGAUUGAGUAUUUGUUUCAGUUAUUCUGACUUUUC